CUCACAAACUGUCGUUGGCACAGGUUGCCAUGGUUACACGUCUCCAAGUGAUGACAUAAAUUACUGCUGAGUGCAUCCGAAAAGAUACAUACUACUGUUUAUUCACACAAAAGUAUGUUGAACGAUAGUACACCUACUGAGUAU